rnacentral:misc_RNA from 1 species
GUAGGUGAACCUGCGGAAGGAUCAUUAAUGAAACUUCAGAGUCGGCUUGUCUAUCUGUGCUGGUGGAGACACAUGUGCACGUUGACGGGUCGCAAAUCCACACACCUGUGCAUCUAUGACUCUGAGUGCCGCUUUGCAUGGCCCUCAGGGGCCUGGUACUCGAGUACUUUACACACUCUGAAUGUAAUGGAAUGUCUUUUGUACAAUGUACAACUAAAAACAACUUUCAUCAACGGAUCUCUUGGCUCUC